AUUGAACGCUGGCGGCGUGCCUAAUACAUGCAAGUCGAACGCAUUGAGAAAAGUGCUUGCACUUUUCAAUUUGAGUGGCGAACGGGUGAGUAACACGUGGGCAACCUACCUGAUAGCGGGGGAUAACGAGUGGAAACAUUCGCUAAUACCGCAUAACAAUAGAGAAGGCAUCUUCUUUAUUUAAAAGGCGCUUUCAAGCGUCACUAUCAGAUGGGCCCGCGGUGCAUUAGUUAGUUGGUGGGGUGAAGGCCUACCAAGACGAUGAUGCAUAGCCGAGUUGAGAGACUGAUCGGCCACAUUGGGACUGAGACACGGCCCAAACUCCUACGGGAGGCUGAAGUAGGGAAUCUUCCACAAUGGACGAAAGUCUGAUGGAGCAACGCCGCGUGUGUGAUGAAGGCUUUCGGGUCGUAAAGCACUGUUGUAUGGGAAGAAAUGCUAGGCUAGGAAAUGAGCUUAGUUUGACGGUACCAUACCAGAAAGGGACGGCUAAAUACGUGCCAGCCGCCGCCGUAA
rnacentral:rRNA from 1 species